AAAUGUAUAAAUAAGAUACAUGGAUUUUUUUAUUAAAUUAUAAUUAUUACAGACAGAUAACUGUUAUGUUUUGUUAGAAAAUUAGAUCAUCAUGCAUAUUCGUUUAUCGAUAACGUCUUGUGCUAGUUCGGCACAAGUAAACAGCCGACGUUCGGGAAAUGCCUUAGCACCUGAGCAAUCUAGUGUGCACAAAAGAAUUCCGACAUGAAUAUCUCAAUCCCAGCAUUCAUACACGGGACGAGGGUGAAGGAGAGAAAGAAAAAGGGGGAAGGGGAGAGAAAAAAAGAGAGAAAGAGAAAGAGAGAAGAUGAAACGAGUUGAACAGGGCUCGUAAAUUCCUGACUACACUACUGACAGUUAACGCUCUCUCCCCCUCCCCCGCACGUCUUUCCCGCUACAGCCGUCACGCUUCGACAGCUACUACUCGGGCGAUAGCGCCCGCGCAGCCGGGUGGGAUGUGGCAACAUCGCCAGCGACCACGUCGUCACGGUCACCUGACUUUUCGUGGAAAUGCGACGCCGCUAUACUCUCCUCGGUCGCGCGCGCGUGAGUAUAGGCGUGCAGGCGUGUAGCGUGCACGCACGACCUUUUUUCCUCCUUUUUUCCCCCCCAGCUGCUACUCCUCUUUCUUCCUCUAUCUAUAUCAUUUUAUCUCUUUCUCUCCACUCUUCAUCCCCUUCGCCCCCUUCUGCACGGUGAGAUCGAUCGAUUGAAGGUAGUCGCGAGUGUCGCGACUCUUCCGAACGCGCGACACGCGAUACGCCGUCAACUUGAGAACACGCAAUUCGUCAAAUACGCGGUAAAUAGACGAGGGGCGACCGCGGUGUAGGCGAUGACGUCAGGAAACGGCGCGAAUGCAUGGCGCGUAUCUCACGGAAGAGGAGAAAAAAAAAGAAAGGGGAGAAAGAUUACACUACAUAUUGAAGUCACGAUAGUGUGCGCCAGUGGCUCUCAUUGAAGGGUCACAUGGACACGUUCUAUAUUAUUCGAAUAUAUGUUAACUAUGUGGCUAGAGAAAUUUAAACGCGCGCGAAUUAUUGCAAACGAAGAUUAUAUUUUAAAGCUGUAUUGGCUCUAUAAAUGAAACUGAUGAUAAGUUAAUGAAAUUCAUUUAAAAGAUAGAUUUUAGGCAUAAUAUGAAUUUAACAUAUAUAUUCACUUUCAAAACGGUUUAUAAGCCCUUUUAAAACUUAUUAGAAUUAUUAGUUACUGUGGUUUCUAAUGGAAAUUCGUAAAAAUUACAGUAUAUCAAAUUUAAUCGCUAAAAAAAUAAUUUAAAAAAUUGUUACAAAGAUAUUAAUAAAAAAAAUAAGCUGUUGAAUAAAGCUCCAGGAGUAGGUAAGAAAUGAAAUGUGCGGUAAACAUUGAAACGUAAGUUAGAUAUCUAAUCCUCUGUACACUGGCGUUAUUCGUUUCUUGGGCUUCAAAAAACUAAGAAUUAACUGUUACGAUUGUAUAUAAUUUUCUUUAAAUAAACACCCAUACAAAUAAAUUUUUAGAAAUAUUAAAGAAUAUGUAAGAAUUAUUAAAGUUUUUAUACUUGCAAAGAUAAUGGAAAUUAAAUCCGAACACGAUCUUAUAUAUAUGUAAGAUUAAUAAUGCUAUUGAUAUUUUAACAUAUCGUUUUUGUUGCAUCAAAAACAUCAAGUUAAUUUUUUACGAACAUAUCAGGAUGUAAUUUAUUAUAGAAGUGUAACAUAAAAUCGAAUUCGAUUGGAUGCAUUAAUGUACACUGUUGCGCAAAUUAAUUAAUUAAUCUCCAAAUAAUAAUAGACAAAAAAACAACAGUAAUAAAUAAAAGACAAAAAGUAAUUUUCAAAAAUGUUUAUUUUAAAAAAUUCCUAAAAAUCUUCAAGAGAAAAAACAACACAACAAAAUAGAAUACCUCCUGUUAUAUUAUAAAUCUCUCUCUCUCUCUCUCUCUCUCUCUCUCUCGAUAUACAAAAAAAAUUCAAUAUAUAAAUAUAUAUAAUAAAUGUAUUAAAUCACAUAAUGCUUAAUAUAUUUUAUUAUGUGCUGUUUGAUAAAAUGUGUACAAUAUUUUAUUAUUCGAGAUAUUUGCAUUACUUUUACACUUAAAUUAGAUCAGCGUACAAUGGCACAUUAAAACCAAAUGUAUAUCAGUAUGCACUAGUGCAGUUCAAUCGAAUUCGCUAUAUAUGUAUACGAGACUUUUGCCACCAACUCACUGCGCGAAGUUAUCACAUUACGUAUAUUUAUUUGUCAUUUAUCACGAGACGUCGUAUCGCCGAAUAUUUGAAACCGUAUUGCUGAGCAGUCGAUUUCACUUUGUUGUGACUGCUCUAAUAUAAUAUUAACUGGAGAGGCAGGAGAGUAAGGAGAAAGAAAGAAAUAAUGAAAGAAAGAAAGAGACAGAAUAUGUGUGUUGUAUAUCUACUCUACUAUGUUAAAAAAAACAAGGUAUUAAUGAUAUGAGGAAAACGAUCGGCACGUCAUUAACAUCGAUAACGUUUUGUUAUGUACCAUGCUCAAUAUUAAGGAUUAACUAUAUCAGAAAAGAUAUAGGCGUUCUGAUAAAUGUUUACUAAAAUUGAUGCAACAAUAACACUUCAUAGCAUUAAAUAAUCAUUACGAUGAUAUAAUUAAUUCUACGAAUUGUGACAAAACAGUGUGAUUCGUGGAAAAAGGAAUAAAAUAAGAAAUAGUUGAAUGAUAUAAUCUCAUGACGAUCUAUCCUCAGUACUCACUUUUAAUAUAAAUUUCAGAUUCCAGCAAACAAGAUAAGAUCAAAAUAAUGUCUUAUUAGAGAUGUCAUUAAAACGUUAUUAAGAUAUCAUUUAACAUCUUAUGUUGUUCGUUAAGAUAUGUUGAUUCUUAUUGUAUUUGCUCUGUACUCUAAAAUUAUACAUUAAUAGUAUAAAAUAAAAUCAUUAAUAAAAAUUAAAAUGCUAAAAAUGUGUGUGAAUUUAACAAUAAAAAUCUUAACCAAACAGACAAUUGAGAAAAAAAAUAGCUUAAAGAUUUGUGCAAAUUCAGUAAUUUAUAGACCAUAUAUGAAUUUGUUGAAUAUGUUAGAAAGAUAACAAAAUGACCGUUCGUUUACGUUAACGACAUUUCAAUGUCGUCCUUUUGUACCUGCUUCCGGUGACGUGCGAUUUAAUUAAUUCCUAGGACGUGACUCAUCGUAAACCGGCACUUGUACGUGCCGGUUUGAAGCAGAGAAUAUCUUUCUAUUCUUGGACAAGAUUAAUUUGGAGGAAAAGGCACGAUCAAGAAUAUUUUCAUAUCGAUCGAAAGAAUGAUUGUACAAUUUACCGAAAUUUAGUCUUCCUAAUACAUUGUUGCCUUCCAAUUAAAAAUUUGAAUAAAGACAAAGAAACGUUAUGCACGAGAUAAUAUGGCAUUUCAUUUGAAAUUAUGAUUGUUUGAGAUUUGGAUUUCAAAGCCCAUCUCUUUCCGUUCUAUGAUGAUUAAAACGACAAUUUAAAAAAAAAA